UAGAAAAAUACAUUUUGCCGUACAUUUAUAACAAUAUUUUGCCUUUUACUGUUAACGUUAAUGUUUCACAAACCGUCAGUUUUAUGUUGAACAGUACGGAUCUCCGUGUUUUGGACCAUAAAGAAAAGUUUAAGUAAUCCAUGCUGAACAGUGACAAUUUAUUACAGUGUCGUGAUACUGUUAAAUGGUAUAGAGAUAGAGGCUCAUGAGAUACAGUAGAAAUGUAUCCUUUCCUUUUGGCAAAUGGUUUUUAUUAAUAUUUGCACAACACACUACCACAUGUAUGCUUUUACUGUAUGUUACUUAUUUUGAACAAUUUGGCAAACUGUAUCACGCAUUGGUAUAAAUUUUCAUCACUUCGCUGCACACGCUUAAAACAUUUGAGGAACGGUUGAUGUUGAUUAAGUUUCAGAUUUUUUUUUUCAUUUGACUUUCACAUAUCGCAACAAAAAAAAUAGUAUAAUCGAGUGUGCAAUAUAAAUUUUGAAUAAAUGGAUGGAAAUUGAAAUGUCAUUUCCACUUUUUUCUUCGAAUGUUUUACAAAUUUUUCGUGGCUGUGUUUAAUUGAAUGUAAAUUUUUUUAAGCGUGCUACGUUUGUUUUGCUCUUGACGUAGAAAAAGCGAAAAAAAAAGUUGUGAACCGAAAUUGAAAUUGAACGCGUGAAACGAAGGAAAUAUUUUAAAAUAAAGUAUGAAGGUUCCUUUGGAAUUGGAGUCUGCGAUUACACAGCUUGCCCAACACUGCGAUCGUGCUUGGACCGGAACUGGUGAUGUUUGUCGUGCUGUUCCGUCUCCGCAAGAUUCAUCGCCGCUCGCUCGCCAGUAAUCAAAAAUCGACCAGCGCAGCAAUCAACGAACAAGAUUUUUCAUAAUAAUAAGCCUUUGCAAGACAGGGCCAAAAUCAGCACAUUUAAUCACCGUGUAACUGCAGAAUAAUUAGGAUUUGGUUUCCUUUGGUUGAAGGAAGGGCAGCAAAACUCGGUCAACGUCCAACAACACGGGCCUUGCAAUCGGAAUCCGAGGAGCUCUGCAAGAUGAUGUUAACAAUUCUUUCCAUAUUUUGAAAUGGUGUAGUCGUGAUUAAAAGAAACAUUUCCAGGAAUUGAUCAACUUCAAAUGGUUCGUGGUUCUAGUUUUUUGUUAUAAUAAGUGCUAGUAUAAAUAUACAAAUUAUUUACAAUUCAA